rnacentral:rRNA from 1 species
UACGUAGGUGGCAAGCGUUGUCCGGAUUUAUUGGGUUUAAAGGGUGCGUAGGCGGCUUUGUAAGUCAGUGGUGAAAUAUGGCAGCUCAACUGUCAGGGUGCCAUUGAUACUGCGGAGCUUGAGUACAGAUGAGGUAGGCGGAAUUGACGGUGUAGCGGUGAAAUGCGUAGAUAUCUGGAGGAAUACCGGUGGCGAAGGCGGCAUCCUGGACCGGCAUUGACGCUGAUGAGCGAAAGCCAGGGGAGCAAACGGG